rnacentral:lncRNA from 1 species
CGGGCCUUCCCGGUAUGUGUGGCUGUGGAUUAGUGCCGGCUGACUCAUGUAGGUGGCUUUGAGGUCCCACUCAGAGCACCGUCCCCGGGAAGCAGCACGCUGGCUUUUGCGGGGCUUGGUCUCAGUGAGGAUUGCUGAGCCUCGGUGGCUUCAUCUCUGAUGCCUGCUGUGCUGUGAGGAUCCAAAGUCACCAAUUCCAGCUCCUUUUCCCGGGAAGCUCAGGCCCCUCAAACUCCAGUCCAGGAGUCACGGGUGACCCUGAAGGCCUCCCUGUUUUUAAAGCCAAAGGCCAGUGGCGAUGGCACAGCCGGCAUUUUUCUAACACUCCUUCUGUUUCUGACCUGUUUUCCACCUUGUGCCCUCGUCCUAGCCCACAGGGAGGCCUGCUUUCAGGUGGUCGGUGGCAGCCCCAGUUUCAAGUUUAGGAAACCCAACAUAGUGAGGCCAAGAAAUCAGAAUUUAGGAAACGAAAUCCCUGAGGGCGGAGAGGUGGCUAAUGGUGUUAUCAAGGCUUCCCGCUUCUGCGGAGCCUUCUCUGGGGGACCGGCCUGCUCUGCCGCAGGAGGGGUCUGGCCAAUCGUAGCACGUCCUUUGCCCCUACCAAGGGUCAAGCGCCAGGGAGCGUGAAACCAUGAUGGUGUACUGUGACACCCGUGGUGACAGAAGCAAGGGCACCAGAGAGCAGGGAACAGGAGAGCCAAUCCCAGCUGAAAACCUCCGACUUCUUCCCCUUCUUCUUCCUGCAAUCCCUGUGCGCCCACAGACCUGUUGAGGAGAAGUGGUGGGCAGGGGCAUUCCAAGAUCUGGGCUCACAGGCUUCUCUCUGGCUUCUGGUCCUCCUCCACCUGCUGAUUGGCACAUGGUAGCUGCUCAAUAAAUCAGCAAGUGGAUGAUAAGGCUGGGCAGAGAGAGGCUCCCGAGCGUGAGACCUCUGCCAACUGAGUCUCGGAGGAGCCCUACAGAAGAAGCCAACUGGAAAAUGAAAUUCCAUUUCUUAAAAAUUCAAGUUCCAUGCAGUAUUUUCAGGUAUUCCAAAAGUGGAAAUGCGGUGUUGACGUGUGUAACUGUGAUGCCUGUGCCUGGUGUGGCCUAGGGACAGGAAAGUAAGAGGAAGGACCACUUGUAAAACGAUUGUGGGUUUGGCUGAUUCCAGCGGCGCACGUUGAAAUGCCCCUCCCACUGGCGGACACGGGCUGAGUAGAACGGGGCUCAGCGGCAAUUGAAGGUGGCAUCUGAAACCCCACUUGGGCUUUGCGUUUACUCUGAGGUUUGAAAACCAUUACUAUGUGCUCCUUGGUUUCCAGGCUCUCCGUACAAAUCCCCGUAUUCCAUGCUGUUCCAGAACCACAGAACAUUGAGGCUAAGAGGGGUCUUCAGUAGGGUGACCAACUGGGACUGUCCGGGUCUCAGCACCAGAAGUCCUGCAUCCUGGAGUCCCCUCAGUCCGGGUUUUUAGAGACCAUGGAUGGACCCAGGCAGGACUAGCUCGUGCCCUCAGUACCCACCCCACUUCCUGCCAGCAGGAUUUCGGGUGAGGUGCAUUACCCUGCUGAGCUCAAGUUUCUUUCUGUCUAAAACAGGGAGCUCACCCAAGUCCUCCACGGUUGUCAUGAGCACAUACAGCGCCUGGCCAGCACCUGGCCCCUGCUGCGUGGCCAUGCUGGAGCUGCCCAUACUGUAUUGACAUUGUCCUUAUCGUCACCAUUAUCACAUUCCAAAGGUCCUGCCUUACAGAUGAUACCCAAAUGGCUGGGGGAGGCCUCCCAGUGGGGCAGAGAGGGACAGCCAGGGCUCAAGCCAGCAUCCCGACUCCUCGUCCAGCGCUCUUCCUUGGAGCAGACCAGUGGAGGCCUGGCCUCCUUCUCAGCGGCUUCCAGCCUCCACUGACUCUCUUGGACCCACGCUUGUCCCGUGUUUAGGGCCAAGGGCAUGGCGGCUGUUGGAGCUCUCUGGAAACAAGCAACCGAAUCAGGUUUCAGCUAAGUAGAAAGAGUUGACGGGAGGAGCGCAGGUCUCACCAGACCACAAGCAAAGCC